UUUCAAUACAGCACUCUUGAUAAAAUGUUUGUAGUAUAACAAAUAAAAACAUUUUCUUGGACUCUCCAGGAAAUUAAUGGCUUAUUUUUCCUGGCAGACUGAUGUGAGGGAUACUAAAUUACCUUCCACUGAUUAAAGACAAGCCACUGCCUCUAGGCAAAGAGAAAAAGAAAAGAAUUAACCAAGCCCUUAGCAAAAGGAGGCAGUGGUGAAAGUUAGGUAAACAAUUCGGAUCUUCUUUGAUCGGACAGUGCAGCUUCCAGAUGCCACAAAACGCUGAGAACCUGGAAGCUGCUCGGGAGACUUCUUAUGUGGAGAGGAACCUCGGCACUUUCUAAGGACCUACUCUGUGCUUGACUGUCACUUAAUUUCCCACCAAGCAAGUAUCCUGUAAGAAUUCUCCACUCACUGAAAUUAUACUUCAAAAAUCAAACUGAAAUUGAGACUCUUUGAAAUAUGCAAAGGCUGAGAAAAUUCACCAAUAGCAACUCUACAUUAGAAGAAAUGAUCAGAUCUCUGUCCUGAAAGAUGUCAUGCAGGAUGAAGACUCAGAACCACACGAUGGAAUGAGCAGUAAUAAAACUGGCCAAUAUGUGAAUAAA